rnacentral:misc_RNA from 1 species
GGACUACCGGGGUAUCUAAUCCUGUUUGCUACCCACGCUUUCGCGUCUCAGCGUCAAUAUCGGUCCAGGCAGCCGCCUUCGCCACCGGUGUUCCUCCUGAUAUCUACGGAUUUCACUCCUACACCAGGAAUUCCACUACCCUCUCCCGUAUUCAAGUCUUGCAGUAUCCAAUGCACUUCCCAGGUUGAGCCCGGGGCUUUCACAUCAGACUUACAAAACCGCCUACACGCGCUUUACGCCCAAUAAAUCCGAACAACGCUCGCACCCUCCGUAUUACCGCGGCUGCUGACAC